GGGAAACGGUCCCGUGGGCGUUUUUCGAGAUUGAAAGUGUCGUCGGGCGUCGUUCAGCUGCCGUUAUCACGUCCAGCGGUAAAACGAAUGCAGUCUGUCUCCGAGGAACGGGUUGCUUUUCGGGUUGUUUUUUUUUUGGUUACGAUUUGGUGGCGUGGGUACACAGCUAAAUAUUAGUAGGUGACGUCUGCUACUAAUUUCGCAAAAAUAAUUCGAAAAAUAUUCGAGGAAUAUCGGUAAGUGGGCGGAUAACAAUGUACAAGUUGCUUCUUGAAAACGCAUCAGCCACGGGGAAACUAAAUAAACAUGCGCACGGAAGAAACCUGCAAAUUCCAUCUCGAUAGUUAAUUUUUCAAUACUGCGAUUUAUCGAAUUUCGUAUAGGUACCUAAAUGUUCUUGUUCGUUUCGCCGUGACAUUAAAUUCCGAAUGAAAUAGGUAACUUUAUUAUGAUGUUUUAUGAAUAUAACCUAUUUUUUGAACCAGAAAUCUUGUUCCAACCGGGCGCAAUGGAUGAUUUCUCUAUAUAAUAGACUUUGUCUAUAGUUUGUGCAUUUCAAGGUUCAUAAUUGAACAAUUAAAGGGGAAAUGGGCAACGUCGGAAAACGGGAAUAUUUAUGCAAUCGGUACCUGUUUUGUUUCGUUUUGUUUUUUUCUCU